GAAGGUAUAGCUCAGUGGUAGAGCACAUACUUAGAAUGAAUGAGGUCCUGGGUUCAAACCUCAGUACCUCCA
rfam:Camelus ferus unplaced genomic scaffold scaffold724, whole genome shotgun sequence.